UAUUAGGAGGAAAAAAAAUUCACCAUAUGCAUAGUCAAAUGCUGAAACAUGUGCCCAGAGAGGCUGUGGAAUCUACAUCCUUGGUGUUUCAGUCUCAGAAGUAUAUAUCCUAAGCAGGGGCUGGACCUGAUGACUUCCAACCUGAAUAACCUGAAUUAUUCUACAGUGCUACAGUGUGGAGGAAAAUCUGAAAAUACACAACUUGCAUAUUUUAAAACUUCUGAAGAAACAUACAAGUCUCUCACAGACAAGGUUCCUAAACCUCCAUCCUACCUCCCUCACACUUGUAAAAGAGCCCUGCUGUGGGCACUAAGCAGAAAAAGCGGAGGAAGAGGCUUUUCAACCAAAGAUAAACGAAGACAUCACCCACCCUACGCCUUUGCUUUCGCCGGAAGGCUGUGAGAGGGAGACACUGUCUCCUAAAGAAAGGAGCUGAUCCUUCCUCCCGUUGCUUGCGGGGGGCACCCCUGUGAGCACACCACGACCGGCAGACACACCGGCACCCUCGCAGUCAACAGUUCACAAAGUGAGAAAUUCCACUCUUUCAGGAGGUUUUUCAGACUGAGCUGUCUAUGUAUUGACUCAUUUAUUGAGAGAGAGUGUUCUCUGUUUUAGCAAUGAAAGAGGUUCAGAAGAGUUAUAAGUACACAUUGUAAGUCUUCGGAGUUUGAAAAACCACCUCUUCAUCUGCUUUCCACCUGGCAAGACUUGCAUAGUAAGUAAAUGGCUUCAGUUAUGCUGUUUGGAAUUAAGAUAGAUUAAUUUUGCCAAUAAAUUGCAGUAAUUGCUAGAUCCUUUUGUGUUCUUUAUGAAUCCUAUGCAAUUUAUGGCACUGUGUGGUGAUGUUUGAAAACAAAUUAAAUUCCACAGGAAGGCAUUCUUAAAGAGGUAAGAUUUAUGCUUUCCUC